UCACUAGAGAAGUGCAGAGUCUGRCCAUUUARGACCAGAGCUCUGAGGUCGAGAUUCCUUCUUCUAGUGAAC
rnacentral:tRNA from 1 species